rnacentral:rRNA from 1 species
UAACACGUAAACAACCUGCCUUCAGGAUGGGGACAACAGACGGAAACGACUGCUAAUACCGAAUAAGUUCCAAGGGGCCGCAUGGCCCAUGGAAGAAAAGGUGGCCUCUACCUGUAAGCUAUCGCCUGAAGAGGGGUUUGCGUCUGAUUAGCUGGUUGGAGGGGUAACGGCCCACCAAGGCGACGAUCAGUAGCCGGUCUGAGAGGAUGAACGGCCACACUGGAACUGAGACACGGUCCAG